rnacentral:rRNA from 1 species
CACGUAGGGUGCGAGCGUUGUCCGGAAUUAUUGGGCGUAAAGAGCUCGUAGGCGGUGUGUCACGUCGGCCGUGAAAACCUGGGGCUUAACUCUGGGCGUGCGGUCGAUACGGGCAUCACUAGAGUUCGGCAGGGGAGACUGGAAUUCCUGGUGUAGCGGUGAAAUGCGCAGAUAUCAGGAGGGAACACCGGUGGCGAAGGCGGGUCUCUGGGCCGAUACUGACGCUGGAG